rnacentral:lncRNA from 1 species
AUAAAUCAAGAUGAAAAUUAAUCAAGAGCUCAAGAUGACAUCAGUCCCAUUCGUCUAAGUCCUGGUGUCGUGUGGAUGGAGAGCAGCAGCCGGUUAUGACAAAGGUGAUACGAAAUUUUUCUGCACUUGAUCUCAACCAAAAGGCUGAGAAGCAAUCCAGAGAUCUUUCUGGACUCUUUAUAUGUUCACUGUGGAGGUCAAAGAUGGCCACAUAACAGAAGAGUUAUUCCAUGUUCAGUUGUGCGUACUGCACACUCAGAAGUUGCCAUUCAAAUCACAGUCCAGGCCAGGGGUACCUCUGGAUUCCUAACAUGCUCAAAAUAGAGGUGGGCACUGGUUCCUCGCUGGCCAGGAUGUGCUGGAGGCAGAGAGGUCUCGGAUGUCAUCGCUUACUGGUAGUGGUCCUCCUUUCGCGCACGCGACCGCAGGUUUCUAUCUGCUCCGUCGGGCAUCAUCGCAUUACCUCAGACUGCACUGGCUCUGCCUCUCCUGCCGAGCGAAGGCUUCUAACCUUCCUUCCACGAUUUUAAAGGGCUGCCCUGAUGUGAGGGGACGCUCAAGGCCAGUCCGCGCCUGUUUUGUGAGGCCCUUCUUUCUCAUGCUGGGACAAAGCCACGAGGGAAUCAACCUCCCCUCUCCUGAGACUCNNNNNNNNNNNNNNNNNNNNNCAGGAUCCAGGACCCUCCCUCAGUACACUUGUAGCACCGCGCCACAGCUUCCACUUUUCACAGAUUCUGGUCUUGGCUGAGAGGUGAAGAGUGUCCCAUUGGCUGGAGGAGUGGAGUUCCACUUCAGAAAAAGAGCUCUCAUCUUGCAAGUUAACACAGAAACCCAUUUUAGUGGAUUGAGUAAGAUUACUGCUGCCAUUAUUUUUAGAAAAAGGAAAUAAACCCCAAGACGACUAAUUCUUGAGGUGGUAA